AACUAUUUUUACUUUUUUAUUAUUAAUUUUUUGGUAUAGUUUAUGUUACUUAAAAAUUUGAUAAUUUGCAUCUUGAAUGCCAAUAUGAUUGUGAGACCGUCCUAGUAAGCAUUGUGUUUCUAGAAUGUAAUUCAGAACUCCCCAGAUGAGCUAUGACAGCAGGAUUGUGUCAUCAGCUCAUCACAUAGAGGACACUUACUAAUGCCUUUCCUACUGUUGAGACUAUAGAGUUUGCACUUCCUGUAUAAAUUAUUUCUUGACGGGUAAUGACUAUCGUACACAGUGUGUACGUAUAUACCAUGCAACAAGGGCUGAAAUUGUGUUUAAAAAUUUAAAAAUUGUAUUUUACAUUUCACGAUCUCAAUGGAGUGUCUAUGGCAGUGUGUGAUAAGCUGUGUGCAACAAAAUUUACCGUUACUUACAUUGUGAGUUGAUUAGUGUGUUACAAUACUGCUAUACAUUUUUCAUUCAUAUCCAUCAACUGCUGUACUACCUAUUUGAAACUAAGAGAGAUCUACGAAAAGCUUUUGUACAAAAAUGAUUUUAAUAUAUCUUCCUUAUAAUUUGGAGGGGAACAAAAACAGAAGGGAAAAAAGAAAGAAUAUAUAGAUGGACUGGAAUAUUUAGCAAAAAGAACAAAAAAGAAAAGAAGAAUAUACAGAUUUUGAGCUUGCCCCAUGUUGAAGGUGAAUAUAGGUGGGAGAGAGAGAGAGAGAGAGAGCCUUUAUGCACAAAUAAAUUGAAGCAUGUACUUGAACUGCAUGCAAUUUAUGGCUGUAAUGGUUGUCCAACUCGAGUGAUGUAAGGUCUUAUUCCAUAAUUAACACGUUAUUGCAUCAUUUUAAACAUUUAUAGCUUUU